rnacentral:rRNA from 1 species
CUUCCCUCUGGCGGCGUGCCUAAUCCAUGCAAGUCGAGCGAACGGACGAGAAGCUUGCUUUUCUGAUGUUAGCGGCGGACGGGUGAGUAACACGUGGAUAACCUACCUAUAAGACUGGGAUAACUUCGGGAAACCGGAGCUAAUACCGGAUAAUAUUUUGAACCGCAUGGUUCAAAAGUGAAAGACGGUCUUGCUGUCACUUAUAGAUGGAUCCGCGCUGCAUUAGCUAGUUGGUAAGGUAACGGCUUACCAAGGCAACGAUGCAUAGCCGACCUGAGAGGGUGAUCGGCCACACUGGAACUGAGACACGGUCCAGACUCCUACGGGAGGCAGCAGUAGGGAAUCUUCCGCAAUGGGCGAAAGCCUGACGGAGCAACGCCGCGUGAGUGAUGAAGGUCUUCGGAUCGUAAAACUCUGUUAUUAGGGAAGAACAUAUGUGUAAGUAACUGUGCACAUCUUGACGGUACCUAAUCAGAAAGCCACGGCUAACUACGUG